rnacentral:tRNA from 1 species
GGCCUGUUCGUCUAAGUGGCGAGGACGCAAGAUUUUCAUUCUUGAAACAUGGGUUCAAAUCCCGUACAGGCUA